rnacentral:tRNA from 1 species
UAUAUACUAGUUUAAUAAAAAUUUAUUCCUUCUAAGUAUAAGAUUCCCUUGGAAUAUAU